UAGCAUCUUACUCACCGCGGGAGCGCGAAACUCUAAACGAAGAUUCCAACCGCGCAAAGGGAAACUAAACCUACGAGCGGGAUAUCCCGUCGCUCUACCGAUAUCAUUACUUUGUCCUUACAUCACGCUGCACGUUUUAAGGUUAUAUUGACUAGCGCCAUAGUCCCCAGAGCCCACAGGAUCGUAUUUCAAGCUGAUAGAAAUUCAUCGAAACCACAGCGAAUUCGCUAAGCUGCACAGUCAAGACAUCGCAGACGGGGAAAGAGAUUAUUAAAACCCUGUCAAAGGGAGUGGAUAGCCUACCUGAUUCCCCGGUGGGUAGGAAAAGGAGGAAGAGUAGCAGGAAGUGUAGCGUCCAAAGGCGAUUCAUGCUUCGGUAUGACUUGGCCGUGACAGAGGUUCCGGUUGUCCUCUACUUUGACAAAUCAUUAACUUAUAGAUUCCAUCCUGACACGUGACCCACUACGACCUUCAACUUUUACCGUGCUUAUUCCGCUUUGUAGCAAGUGAAAGAGAUCAAAUGACAAUCUCAUAUUUUACUUUAAAAAGAUGCUUCUUUUACAAGAUUCAUAACACUGGUAUCAUGGCAUUUUCUUCUAACAAUGCUUUUUAAACGCUCCGAGAACUGUUCUUAUUUUCUUUCUUAGAGUUGAGAUGGCGCUUACGAAAUUCCCUGUUUAGAUUAAAAAAUAUAAAAGCGUUGCUUAAGAGGUUUUUACCUGAAAUGCUCAACUAAUUAAAGCCGCACUAAAAAGCAGGGGAGUUGAUUUGAUUCCUGCGUUCUUAUGCAGGACAGGCGCUCCUAGCCUCUGUAAAUAAAGGAAAGUCACUGUGUCAACACAAUCCCUUUGAAAUACGUAGAAUCAACCGAGAAAUACAAUAACUGAAUAACUAGAUAACUGACGAGUACCGGUACCGGUGCAAACAAACACCUUAAGUAUGGUGGGUUAGAUAGAAAAAGCCGUUAACGUUAGUUUGCAGCAAAUAAUUAUAACAGUGUUAUAGUUCUAUAUCCUUCGACACAAAGCAAUACCAGGUCUACCAGGGGCGUCUCCGGGCCGGUACCAAUGGAAAUGAUUAUCACGGAUAAAUGUUACAAAGAAAAUAAAGCCCUCAAAGGUUUUUAAGUGCAAA